rnacentral:rRNA from 1 species
CCUACGGGUGGCUGCAGUAGGGAAUAUUGCUCAAUGGGGGAAACCCUGAAGCAGCAACGCCGCGUGCAGGAUGAAGGUUUUCUGAUUGUAAACUCCUUUUGUUAGGGAAGAUAAUGACGGUAUCUAACGAAUACUCACCGGCUAACUCCGUUCCAGCAGCCGCGGUAAUACGGAGGGUGCAAGCGUUACUCGGAAUCACUGGGCGUAAAGCGCGCGUAGGCGGGAUAGCAAGUCAGAUAUGAAAUCCUAUGGCUUAACCAUAGAACUGCAUUUGAAACUGUUAGUCUAGAGUAUGGGAGAGGUAGGUGGAAUGCUUGGUGUAGGGGUAAAAUCCGUAGAGAUCAUGAAGAAUACUCAUUGCGAAGGCGACCUGCUAGAACAUAACUGACGCUGAUGCGCGAAAGCGUGGGGAGCAAACAGGAGUAGAUACCCCUGUAGUC